rnacentral:rRNA from 1 species
CACGUAGGGCGCGAGCGUUGUCCGGAAUUAUUGGGCGUAAAGAGCUCGUAGGCGGCCUGUUGCGUCCGCUGUGAAAGCCCGGGGCUUAACCCCGGGUCUGCAGUGGAUACGGGCAGGCUAGAGGUAGGUAGGGGAGAAUGGAAUUCCCGGUGUAGCGGUGAAAUGCGCAGAUAUCGGGAGGAACACCGGUGGCGAAGGCGGUUCUCUGGGCCUUACCUGACGCUGAGGAGCGAAGGCCAGGGGAGCAAACGGG